CCUACGGGGGGCAGCAGUAGGGAAUAUUGCUCAAUGGGGGAAACCCUGAAGCAGCAACGCCGCGUGGAGGAUGAAGGUUUUCUGAUUGUAAACUCCUUUUGUUAGAGAAGAUAAUUACGGUAUCUAACGAAUAAGCACCGGCUAACUCCGUUCCAGCAGCCGCGGUAAUACGGAGGGUGCAAGCGUUACUCGGAAUCACUGGGCGUAAGGAGCGCGUAGGCGGGAUAGCAAGUCAGAUGUGAAAUCCUAUGGCUUAACCAUAGAACUGCAUUUGAAACUGUUAUUCUAGAGUAUGGGAGAGGUAGGUGGAAUGCUUGGUGUAGGGGUAAAAUCCGUAGAGAUCAAGAGGAAUACUCAUUGCGAAGGCGGCCUGCUGGGCUUUUACUGACGCUGAGGCUCGAAAGUGUGGGGAGCAAACAGGAUUAGAUACCCGAGUAGUC
rnacentral:rRNA from 1 species